rnacentral:tRNA from 1 species
GUCCGAUUAAAAUGCAAAAUUUAGACUGAGGAGGGAAAAAUGAAGCAAAAUUGGGGGCGGGGGGAUUAAAGGAUAAGAAAGGGGAUUUAAAAAGGAAAAAUAAAAAAGAACUUUAGUUGGUUCCACUGGGGCUCGAACCCAGGACCUUCUGCGUGUAAAGCAGACGUGAUAACCACUACACUAUGGAACCACCACGUUGCAAAAGCCUCUUGGUUCCUUCCUUUAUAAAUACGUCACAAGCCACGCCUCUUCCCUUUUUUUUUCUCCUUCUAUCAUGUGACCAGUCCUAGGCUCGGGGCUGGAGCUACCUCCUAGUGUAUCCCCCACUCUUGACGCAGCCAGGAUUCUCCUCUCGCCUACGAGGGCUAGUCCCCGUUUCAGGCUGUUAUUGGGGGAUGGGGCGGCGACCGCCUUCCCCCUACAUAUUCCGUAGGACGCGCAGGCGCGCGCCCUCCUCCGCGAGCUUUGCCUGGAAUCCCGUAGGCGGAGAUUGACGCCUGGGGCUCUCACCUGCUGCGGGGGCGUGAAGGAACCCCCGGCCGCAGCCAUCCCUCAGGCGAGUGGGGGGGGGGUCGGAGGCAGAGGAGCCCGGCUUCCUUUAGCUCCCCCCGAAAAGUAAAUAACCUUUUUUAAAAACAAGAUUAAUUUGUAUUGAUAUUUUACAUUCCUACCUCAGCUCUCCUUUUUUAUUAUAACAAAGAAUUGUUUGAAGAAGAAAAAAAAACCUUCGGGAAAACCAGUCAAUGCAACGAAAAUAAUCGAAAAAACAUUCUAUACCAGGCUCUUCAAAGUCCAGGGAAGACAAAAGUUAGGACAACUGGAGAUGGGCAGGGAUGCAGGGGCAUCUUUGAUGUUUGAUCAAGCUCUAGAGGCUCCACAGUGCCUGCUCCAGCCUCCUUCAUGGCGGAUGGAACAACAAAGAGUGCAGGUAAAAGUUUCCGCAGAGGGAGUUAGGAGGCUAAUUGUUGCCUAAGGAAAAAGAUACCCCAUUUUUUUACCCUCUGCCCUGACUCCUAGCUUCUUGGUGGCAGCAAUCAGCAACAGAAGUAGUGUUCAGGGUCUUGUUGGAGGCCAAUUUUAAGAGCAGAGCCUCUGGGGGCCUGGAACUGGGGGCUAGAUGAGCAAUUGGAGUCAGAGGCUGGAAGAAGCAGUAUCAGCAACGCCAGAGUCAGCAGCGAGGAACAAGGAACUAAGGAGGAACAAGGAACAAAGGAAGAGUGAGGAACGAAGGACGCAAGCAAUUGGGUGAGAGAAGUGAUUUAUUUUUUCUUCACCCAGAGUCCCCUGACUAAAAAUAGCCUGGCCAAAAGGGAAAGCAAGCAACUGGGCAAAAAGUAGGAAAAGAAAAAUGCAGCAGCUCCAAAGAGAGUUGGAGUUUGUGAGGGUGGGUGGGGUAGGCAGGAGAAAUGUGGCUUAAAAAAAAUUAUCUAGGCUACCUUAAAAAAUUGAGAGGUUCUUCUCCAAUUAAUGGUUGCCAUCAAUAUAAAAGUUAAAAUUAAAUCUCUAAUAAAAAUAUUAUAUAAUUUUUUAAAUUAGAGUAC